rnacentral:rRNA from 1 species
GAUGAACGCUGGCGGCGUGCUUAACACAUGCAAGUCGAACGAUGAUCCGGUGCUUGCACCGGGGAUUAGUGGCGAACGGGUGAGUAACACGUGAGUAACCUGCCCUUGACUCUGGGAUAAGCCUGGGAAACUGGGUCUAAUACCGGAUAUGACUCCUCAUCGCAUGGUGGGGGGUGGAAAGCUUUUGCGGUUUUGGAUGGACUCGCGGUAGAUCAGCUUGUUGGUGAGGUAAUGGCUCACCAAGGAGCCGACGGGUAGCCGGCCUGAGAGGGAGACCGGACACACUGGGACUGAGAGAGGGCCAAGACUCCUACGUGAGGAAGCAGUGGGGAAUAUUGCACGAAGGGCGGAAGCCUGAUGCGGCGACGCCGCGUGAGGGAUGACGGCCUUCGGGUUGUAAACCUCUUUCAGUAGGGAAGAAGCGAAAGUGACGGUACCUGCAGAGGAAGCGCCGGCUAACUACGUGCCAGCAGCCGCCGCCGUAA